rnacentral:rRNA from 2 species
GGGUUGUGAGGUUAAGCGACUAAGCGUACACGGUGGAUGCCCUGGCAGUCAGAGGCGAUGAAGGACGUGCUAAUCUGCGAAAAGCGUCGGUAAGGUGAUAUGAACCGUUACAGCCGGCGAUGUCCGAAUGGGGAAACCCAGUGCAAUUCGUUGCACUAUCGUUAACUGAAUACAUAGGUUAACGAGGCGAACCGGGGGAACUGAAACAUCUAAGUACCCCGAGGAAAAAAAAUCAACCGAGAUUCCCCCAGUAGCGGCGAGCGAACGGGGAGCAGCCCAGAGUCUGAAUCAGCUUGUGUGUUAGUGGAACGGUCUGGAAAGUCCGACGGUACAGGGUGAUAGUCCCGUACACCAAAAUGCACAGGCUGUGAACUCGAAGAGUAGGGCGGGACACGUGGUAUCCUGUCUGAAUAUGGGGGGACCAUCCUCCAAGGCUAAAUACUCCUGACUGACCGAUAGUGAACCAGUACCGUGAGGGAAAGGCGAAAAGAACCCCGGCGAGGGGAGUGAAAAAGAACCUGAAACCGUGUACGUACAAGCAGUGGGAGCACCUUCGGGUGUGACUGCGUACCUUUUGUAUAAUGGGUCAGCGACUUAUAUUCUGUAGCAAGGUUAACCGUAUAGGGGAGCCGCAGGGAAACCGAGUCUUAACUGGGCGUUAAGUUGCAGGGUAUAGACCCGAAACCCGGUGAUCUAGCCAUGGGCAGGUUGAAGGUUGGGUAACACUAACUGGAGGACCGAACCGACUAAUGUUGAAAAAUUAGCGGAUGACUUGUGGCUGGGGGUGAAAGGCCAAUCAAACCGGGAGAUAGCUGGUUCUCCCCGAAAGCUAUUUAGGUAGCGCCUCGUGAAUUCAUCUUCGGGGGUAGAGCACUGUUUCGGCUAGGGGGUCAUCCCGACUUACCAACCCGAUGCAAACUACGAAUACCGAAGAAUGUUAUCACGGGAGACACACGGCGGGUGCUAACGUCCGUCGUGAAGAGGGAAACAACCCAGACCGCCAGCUAAGGUCCCAAAGUCAUGGUUAAGUGGGAAACGAUGUGGGAAGGCACAGACAGCCAGGAUGUUGGCUUAGAAGCAGCCAUCAUUUAAAGAAAGCGUAAUAGCUCACUGGUCGAGUCGGCCUGCGCGGAAGAUGUAACGGGGCUAAACCAUGCACCGAAGCUGCGGCAGCGACACUAUGUGUUGUUGGGUAGGGGAGCGUUCUGUAAGCCUGCGAAGGUGACCUGUGAGGGUUGCUGGAGGUAUCAGAAGUGCGAAUGCUGACAUAAGUAACGAUAAAGCGGGUGAAAAGCCCGCUCGCCGGAAGACCAAGGGUUCCUGUCCAACGUUAAUCGGGGCAGGGUGAGUCGACCCCUAAGGCGAGGCCGAAAGGCGUAGUCGAUGGGAAACAGGUUAAUAUUCCUGUACUUGGUGUUACUGCGAAGGGGGGACGGAGAAGGCUAUGUUAGCCGGGCGACGGUUGUCCCGGUUUAAGCAUGUAGGCUGGUUAUCCAGGCAAAUCCGGAUAAUCAAGGCUGAGGUGUGAUGACGAGGCACUACGGUGCUGAAGUAACAAAUGCCCUGCUUCCAGGAAAAGCCUCUAAGCAUCAGGUAACAUCAAAUCGUACCCCAAACCGACACAGGUGGUCAGGUAGAGAAUACCAAGGCGCUUGAGAGAACUCGGGUGAAGGAACUAGGCAAAAUGGUGCCGUAACUUCGGGAGAAGGCACGCUGGUGUGUAGGUGAAGUCCCUGCGGAUGGAGCUGAGACCAGUCGAAGAUACCAGCUGGCUGCAACUGUUUAUUAAAAACACAGCACUGUGCAAACACGAAAGUGGACGUAUACGGUGUGACGCCUGCCCGGUGCCGGAAGGUUAAUUGAUGGGGUUAUCCGUAAGGAGAAGCUCUUGAUCGAAGCCCCGGUAAACGGCGGCCGUAACUAUAACGGUCCUAAGGUAGCGAAAUUCCUUGUCGGGUAAGUUCCGACCUGCACGAAUGGCGUAAUGAUGGCCAGGCUGUCUCCACCCGAGACUCAGUGAAAUUGAACUCGCUGUGAAGAUGCAGUGUACCCGCGGCAAGACGGAAAGACCCCGUGAACCUUUACUAUAGCUUGACACUGAACAUUGAGCCUUGAUGUGUAGGAUAGGUGGGAGGCUUUGAAGCGUGGACGCCAGUCUGCGUGGAGCCAACCUUGAAAUACCACCCUUUAAUGUUUGAUGUUCUAACGUUGGCCCCUGACCGGGGUUGCGGACAGUGUCUGGUGGGUAGUUUGACUGGGGCGGUCUCCUCCCAAAGCGUAACGGAGGAGCACGAAGGUUAGCUAAUCCUGGUCGGACAUCAGGAGGUUAGUGCAAUGGCAUAAGCUAGCUUGACUGCGAGCGUGACGGCGCGAGCAGGUGCGAAAGCAGGUCAUAGUGAUCCGGUGGUUCUGAAUGGAAGGGCCAUCGCUCAACGGAUAAAAGGUACUCCGGGGAUAACAGGCUGAUACCGCCCAAGAGUUCAUAUCGACGGCGGUGUUUGGCACCUCGAUGUCGGCUCAUCACAUCCUGGGGCUGAAGUAGGUCCCAAGGGUAUGGCUGUUCGCCAUUUAAAGUGGUACGCGAGCUGGGUUUAGAACGUCGUGAGACAGUUCGGUCCCUAUCUGCCGUGGGCGCUGGAGAAUUGAGGGGGGCUGCUCCUAGUACGAGAGGACCGGAGUGGACGCAUCACUGGUGUUCGGGUUGUCAUGCCAAUGGCACUGCCCGGUAGCUAAAUGCGGAAGAGAUAAGUGCUGAAAGCAUCUAAGCACGAAACUUGCCCCGAGAUGAGUUCUCCCUGAGACUUUAAGUCUCCUGAAGGAACGUUAAAGACGAUGACGUUGAUAGGCCGGGUGUGUAAGCGCAGCGAUGCGUUGAGCUAACCGGUACUAAUGAACCGUGAGGCUUAACCUUACAACGCCGAAG